rnacentral:rRNA from 1 species
ACAGGGAGCUUGCUCCUGGGUGACGAGCGGCGGACGGGUGAGUAAUGUCUGGGAAACUGCCCGAUGGAGGGGGAUAACUACUGGAAACGGUAGCUAAUACCGCAUAACGUCUUCGGACCAAAGUGGGGGACCUUCGGGCCUCACACCAUCGGAUGUGCCCAGAUGGGAUUAGCUAGUAGGUGAGGUAAUGGCUCACCUAGGCGACGAUCCCUAGCUGGUCUGAGAGGAUGACCAGCCACACUGGAACUGAGACACGGUCCAGACUCCUACGGGAGGCAGCAGUGGGGAAUAUUGCACAAUGGGCGCAAGCCUGAUGCAGCCAUGCCGCGUGUGUGAAGAAGGCCUUCGGGUUGUAAAGCACUUUCAGCGAGGAGGAAGGGUUCAGUGUUAAUAGCACUGUUCAUUGACGUUACUCGCAGAAGAAGCACCGGCUAACUCCGUGCCAGCAGCCGCGGUAAUACGGAGGGUGCAAGCGUUAAUCGGAAUUACUGGGCGUAAAGCGCACGCAGGCGGUUUGUUAAGUCAGAUGUGAAAUCCCCGAGCUUAACUUGGGAACUGCAUUUGAAACUGGCAAGCUAGAGUCUUGUAGAGGGGGGUAGAAUUCCAGGUGUAGCGGUGAAAUGCGUAGAGAUCUGGAGGAAUACCGGUGGCGAAGGCGGCCCCCUGGACAAAGACUG